rnacentral:rRNA from 1 species
UACGUAGGGGGCAAGCGUUGUCCGGAAUCAUUGGGCGUAAAGAGCGUGUAGGCGGCCCGGUAAGUCUGUUGUGAAAGUCCAGGGCUCAACCCUGGAAUGCCGAUGGAUACUGCCGGGCUAGAGCUCGGAAGAGGCGAGUGGAAUUCCUGGUGUAGCGGUGGAAUGCGCAGAUAUCAGGAGGAACACCUAUAGCGAAGGCAGCUCGCUGGGGCGACACUGACGCUGAGACGCGAAAGCGUGGGGAGCGAACAGG